rnacentral:rRNA from 1 species
GAUGAACGCUAGCUACAGGCUUAACACAUGCAAGUCGAGGGGAAACGAUGAGAGAGCUUGCUCUCUUAGUCGUCGACCGGCGCACGGGUGAGUAACGCGUAUCCAACCUGCCUCUGACCAAGGGAUAACCCGUCGAAAGUCGGACUAAUACCUUAUGCAGUCGCCGGAAGUCAUCUGAUGACGACGAAAGAUUUCAUCGGUGAGAGAUGGGGAUGCGUCUGAUUAGCUUGUUGGCGGGGUAACGGCCCACCAAGGCGACGAUCAGUAGGGGUUCUGAGAGGAAGGUCCCCAACAUUGGAACUGAGACACGGUCCAAACUCCUACGGGAGGCAGCAGUGAGGAAUAUUGGUCAAUGGGCGUAAGCCUGAACCAGCCAAGUAGCGUGCAGGAUGACGGCCCUAUGGGUUGUAAACUGCUUUUAUGCGGGGAUAAAGUGAGGGACGUGUCCUUCAUUGCAGGUACCGCAUGAAUAAGGACCGGCUAAUUCCGUG